rnacentral:rRNA from 1 species
UUGUUUGUCUUGGACCAACAUAAAAAAGUUGUUUCUAUUUUGGACCCGCUUUCAAUACCCACUUUCGGAAAGCAUAUACUUCAAACUAUGGCCAACGAUCUAAACCUUGCACUCCAAGCUGCAAACCCUGCCUUCAAGGAUGACAUUUUGAUAUGGGGGUGCAAAGUUCCCGCUGUUCCCACAAACUCAUACGGUCCCCUAUCUGGUUAUUUGGUUUUCAAUUUAAUGCACUCACGGCACGAUGGGACGCUACAUUUUCCAGCACCCAAGGAUGAUUUUGAACAAAGGAAGCGAUUUUUGGUUCAUAUUUUGAAGUAUGAAGAGAAUGAAGUUCUAAACAAUAUCCCUGAAGGAAAUAUGCCCUAG